rnacentral:rRNA from 1 species
UGGGGAAUUUUGGACAAUGGGCGCAAGCCUGAUCCAGCCAUGCCGCGUGCGGGAAGAAGGCCUUCGGGUUGUAAACCGCUUUUGUCAGGGAAGAAAUCUUCUGAGUUAAUACCUCGGGAGGAUGACGGUACCUGAAGAAUAAGCACCGGCUAACUACGUGCCAGCAGCCGCGGUAAUACGUAGGGUGCAAGCGUUAAUCGGAAUUACUGGGCGUAAAGCGUGCGCAGGCGGUUUUGUAAGACAGAGGUGAAAUCCCCGGGCUCAACCUGGGAACUGCCUUUGUGACUGCAAGGCUUGAGUGCGGCAGAGGGGGAUGGAAUUCCGCGUGUAGCAGUGAAAUGCGUAGAUAUGCGGAGGAAACACCGAUGGCGAAGGCAAUUCCCCCUGGGCCUGCACUGACGCUCAUGCACGAAAGCGUGGGGAGCAAACAGGAUUAGAUAGCCCUGGUAGUCCACGCCCUAAACGAUGUCAACUGGUUGUUGGGAAAGGUUCCUUCUCAGUAACGUAGCUAACGCGUGAAGUUGACCGCCUGGGGAGUACGGCCGCAAGGUUG